UUUAUCACAAUAUGCUAAUUUUUUGAGAAGGACCUGUAGUUGCUACUUGCCCGUUCAGUUGAUCAGCAGUUUACCAUUACCAUUAAAUAACCAUCUAAAUUUGCUCUUUAAAUCAUUUAAAACACUAAAUUAAAAGUUUAAAUCACUGAAUUAAAAAUGAAAAUAAAUAAUAGAAAUCAGACUACAUUUAACUGAUAAGAGAAACACACAUAUUAACACAUUUGAGAUAGUAGGGCUGUAUUAGCAGCUUACAUUUACUGCUAUGAUAAAAAUUAACUUGUAUGCAGGAUUAAAAUUCUACAUGUAUCACAUUUAAUGUCCAACAACAAAUAUUUGAGCAGAAUGCAUAUUUUAUAUUGCGCAAUUAUUCUAUUGCGUUUCAUCUGGUUAGCGCGCAUGCGCGCAGCAGCGCUUUUUCACUCGCUUAAGCCUCGCCCACUCCUAACAGCAAAAUGGAUAUAUCUGCAUGACCUUCUAGUGACGGGAAGUUCGGCUCGUCUCCCUUAGAAGAGCCGGCUCUUCCAGCUCCCAAAUGGUUCUUUAUUUAGUAUCACUCUGAGCUUUCUAUUUUAGCCCAAUUUAGCCCAAUUGUGAUUGGUUUGUGUGUUGCUUCAAGCAAAUGAAGUUCACUGGGCUUGUCGUGGUGGCAGUUUGCCUGUGCUGGAAGCACUACUUAAUCAUGGGGCAAAACUGGAUUCCAGAGACAAGCUUCGCAGCACCCCCCUUCAUGUAGCGGUCAGGACAGGACACC